CUCUCUCUCUCUCUCUCUCUCUCUCUGUCUCUGUCUCUGUCUCUGUGCGUGUGUGAGCACAAUCUCUUUCUCUCUCUCUCUCUCUCUUUCUCCCCCCCCUCUAUCCUUGCAGGUACUGAGGAAAGGCCAUGUUGGCACGCAGCAAGAAGGCAGCCAUCUGGAAGCUAGGAAGAGAAUCCUUACUAGAACCCAACCAUUUUGGCACCCUAAUCUCAGACUUCCAGCCUCCUCGAAGAAAAUAAACUGCUGAAUACCACGUGGAAGCUGCUAAGGCUUAUGGCUUACAUUCUUUGAGGCAGUGACCUGACAUGUAACUGGAUCCCGUUUAGCCAUGGUUGAAGUUGGAUACUCCUUGCUCCUCAGCUUGCAGACGGCCUAUUGUGGGACCUUGUGAUCAUCAAGGCAAGAAGGCCUGACACGUUCAAUGUGUUCUAACCUCCUGCCAAGUAGUGUGCAAGGUUCAAGAGAUGGAAAAUUGGAAGCGAACGUCCUUGGAGAAGCUCUCAUUCAACUGAAAGCAAAUAUGGAACAGAUAAGAAGGCAAGAAAAGGAUCAUCACAAAUAUAGCCUGACUGGAUGCUGUUUAGAGCAGUAGCUAUUCUAUUACCUCACAUUCUCAGGUUCUAUAAUCUGAAAAUAGCUAAAUAAAAAUAAUAGCU